CUGUGUUUUUAUUUGAAUUUUAUAUCGUCCAAUGAUAAUUUAUUAAAUGUUUAAUGCCCGCGAAAUGGUGAGCUCUCUGAACAUUCGAACGCCUCAGGAGAGGAGCUGAGAGUGCAGUCCCAGUCAGAGUUCAGAGGAGCGAAGUCCCGUUUUUGAUAGGCUACUCCAUCAAUGCCAUUCUGGUGUGUAGUGCUAUGCCCACUGCGAUCUGUAUCUGUAUAUCACGUUUUGUCGGAGGUCUCAGGUUCACUGUUAUUCUGUCCACUGCUGUGUUGAGGCAGUGUUGACAUUUAGAAGCUCGCGUUUUUUGGGCUGUUGGCAAGCUAAGGCAGACGGCUAGCUAGGGGGCAGAUAGCUGCUGCCGCCUUAGCUAAUUCACCUCAGGGACUGGCCUGAUACUUGUCGGGACUCGUUUUCUUCCUCCGGUGCUGGGCCCACCGGAGGUCGACAACCAUCACGGACAUCUCCUGCCGCUACACUGCUGACGUCGAGGAUCCUUGUUUGAGGUCGCAUCUCACUGCCGCUAGCCAACGCUGCAGGGGCGCAUUCUGUUCUCUGGUGCUGGGCCCACCAGAGAGCCACCACUGGCUGCGACUGCUAACGGCUAGCUUUGAGGACGACUGAGCAGUAAUCAACCCCAGGGUCGGCUGCGAGCUGAUUCGCCAGGUAGGGACGGUGGAUCAUGUGGUGGAGCACUGUUUCUUGAUGACAAGAAAAAAAAAGAUAGUGGUGCUUUGCUUAAAUUUCUCAGC